rnacentral:rRNA from 1 species
GAUUGAACGCUGGCGGCAUGCCUUACACAUGCAAGUCGAACGGUAACAGGUCUUCGGACGCUGACGAGUGGCGAACGGGUGAGUAAUACAUCGGAACGUGCCCAGUCGUGGGGGAUAACUACUCGAAAGAGUAGCUAAUACCGCAUACGAUCUGAGGAUGAAAGCGGGGGACCUUCGGGCCUCGCGCGAUUGGAGCGGCCGAUGGCAGAUUAGGUAGUUGGUGGGAUAAAAGCUUACCAAGCCGACGAUCUGUAGCUGGUCUGAGAGGACGACCAGCCACACUGGGACUGAGACACGGCCCAGACUCCUACGGGAGGCAGCAGUGGGGAAUUUUGGACAAUGGGCGAAAGCCUGAUCCAGCAAUGCCGCGUGCAGGAUGAAGGCCUUCGGGUUGUAAACUGCUUUUGUACGGAACGAAAAAGCUUCUCCUAAUACGAGAGGCCCAUGACGGUA